CUUCACCCAGUCUUCACCUCUUCUUCAGUGUCUUCACUCUUCAGUUUUAAUUUCAAUACGUUGCACAGUGAAUGCAUGAAGAUACUGUAGUUUAUUUAUUUUGUCUCUGGUGUAUGUUAGUAGGUCGUUAGGUUCAAGAUUAAGUGGCCACCGGUUGAAUAACAGCUUUUGUAAAAUAAAAUAUGCGAGUUUGAAGUUAUUAAUUUACUGCUUUGAAUGAUGGUGAAUAAAGUGAACCAGUGAAUGUGUUGUGUAAAGUUUUUAACUACAAUAGCCUACAUUACUUGUAAGCACAACACUUCAACUCUUCAAGCAGCAAUUCAACGAUUCACAUUGUUUUCUGGAAAAGGUGUGAAGCGACGACACAGUCAGCGGCAUCCUGUCAUGGACCACAGCUUUCAAUGACCUCAUCACUUGACAGGUUGAACGAUCAGUUGUUGGGGAUUAUAAGGGAGGGGGACUCUUGACUGUGGAAUGAAGAACUAGACUAGUUGCUAACAGUGAGCAGAAUGGGAGAGAACGAGGGAGAAGUUGAAGAUCAUCACUGCAUGUCUCCGGAACAUUCAAGCGAGCGAAGUGAGUUCUCACCACUUGAGACCUUCACUAUGUCGCCUCGCGAAGUGAGUUCUCAUCCCCUGUUGCAGUCUCCAUUCAUCUGGAUUGCGUGGAACGCGAGUUGGCGGCAGUCACAUUAACUCUGGCAUUCAAUCACAUUAUUUCCAUGUUAUCAAAUUAUUCGGCAUUUUAUGAUGUAGGCCUCAUCUUACGUUCAUCUUUUGAUUUUAUGUUUUAUUCAUCAGUAAUUAAAUCUCAUUUUCUGUUUUUAAAAUCAUGUAGUUUUUGUUUUCAUUUUAUGUUUUAUUCGUAAGUAAUAAACUAACAUUUUAUGUUUACUA